AUCUUCGUCCCACCCAACACACCAAUUAGGUUAAUUAAUACCCAGCCAUCCCACACACAAAAAUUAGUGGUCAUGUGCCACUGAGUAAUUAUGUAGUCGAGCUGCUAGAUAUAAUGCAGAGAUACCACAAGAAACAAAUACUACAGAUUAAUUGCCAUAAACAAAUAUUGCGGGUGAACCGCUAGAAACAUAGAUCGUGGUCUGACAGAACUUCCUCCAUAUCAUAAUCACAUCUCACCCUAAUGCACAUGCAAAUCAUACUACAUGUUCAAACAAACUCAUAUUAAACAUGCCACAUACAAACUUAACAUAUUGGAAACAUGUCAUCAAUAGAUACAAGUUGCCAGAACAAAGGCAUAUUAAUUAACUUAUUCAGACUUAUGUAUGGUAACAUGCUCACACAAAAAACAAAUACGAAAAAGACUACGAAUUUACAUGCUCUAACAUGUUUAUAGGAAAUUUUGCUUAUAGCGACAUACAUAACAAAUUAAUCUUCAAUCACCAAGCAUAAUCACAUAACCAAUUUCAUCAUUUUACCAUAACGUGCUUCUGGCCCAAAUCACGACCCAACCAAAAAUUGAUCGAAAUGGGCCCACAUGCCCUACUUUUCCAACCUGUGUGGCCCACACGGCCAGGCACACACUUGUGUGGCUCACAUGGUCAGGCACAUGGCAUAACCAAUUUCAUCAUUUUACCAUAACGUGCUUCUGGCCCAAAUCACGACCCAACCAAAAAUUGAUCGAAAUGGGCCCACAUGCCCUACUUUUCCAACCUGUGUGGCCCACACGGCCAGGCACACACUUGUGUGGCUCACAUGGUCAGGCACAUGACUAGGCACACAGUCGUGUGACGUCGACUGUCAAUUUUGAUUACGCACAAUUUCCCUAAUUUUUUAAGUUUACAGUCACACACCUGACUAUUUUUUGAAAUGUUGACACUAAAGUAGCAACCAAAUUCUGUAGACAACAACCACAACUUAAAUAAUUAAUGAUCACUUCCAAAAAAUCGACCCUUGCUUCCUACAGCAUUCGACCAAUAACAAUAGCGCAUUUGACCCUUUGCGAACUAAAUUAUCACAACUAGCCCCUAAACUUGGGCGUUUGAUUACUCACCCUUAGAAGCAGAGGUCUCCAACACACCUAAAUCACCAAAGGAAAGUGCACCUCAUGAUCCUCACCUAAUAGAAUUAUAAACCAUAAGAAUAACACCAUUAAACCAACAAUCCCCUCAAGUGAUACCGAGCCAACCCUCUUACAAUUAAAGCAAGAGAAAUGAUUAUACUUACUUAAGAAUUUAAU
rnacentral:lncRNA from 1 species